GACGAACGCUGGCGGCGUGCUUAACACAUGCAAGUCGAACGGAAAAGCCCCUUUGGGGGUACUCGUGUGGCGAACGGGUGAGUAACACGUGAGGAACCUUCCCUGGAAGUCGGGGUAACUGCAGGAAACUGGGGCUAAUACCGGAUAGGAAUCCUUGCUGCAUGGUGGGGGUUGUAAAGCUUCGGCGGUUUUGGAUGGACUCGCGGCGUAUCAGCUUGUUGGUGGGGUAGUGGCUUACCAAGGCUUUGACGGGUAGCCGGCCUGAGAGGGCGACCGGCCACAUUGGGACUGAGAUACGGCCCAGACGCCUACGGGAGGCAGCAGUGGGGAAUAUUGCACCAUGGGCGGAAGCCUGAUGCAGAAACGCCGCGUGCGGGAUGACGGCCUUCGGGUUGUAAAACGCUUUCAGCAGGGGCGAAGCUUGUGGUGACGUUACCUGCAGAAGAAGCACCGGCUAACUACGUG
rnacentral:rRNA from 1 species